UACGGAGGGUGCAAGCGUUGUUCGGAAUCACUGGGCGUAAAGGGCGUGUAGGCGGCCCGCUAAGUCUGAUGUGAAAUCCCCUCGCUCAACGAGGGAACUGCGUCGGAAACUGGCGGACUCGAGUACCGGAGAGGAAGGUGGAAUUCCCGGUGUAGCGGUGAAAUGCGUAGAGAUGUGGAGGAACACCGAUGGCGAAGGCAGCCCCCUGGGCUGAGAUUGACGCUCAGGCACGAAAGCGUGGGGAGCAAACAGG
rnacentral:rRNA from 1 species